rnacentral:rRNA from 1 species
ACAUGGCUCCUUGUUUUCUUUCAUAGGGAGUCGGACCUGCUCGGUGAAUAUAUUUUAACAGCCGCGGUACUCUGACCGUGCAAAGGUAGCAUAAUCAUUUGCCUUAUAAUUGAAGGCUAGUAUGAAUGGUUUGACGAGAAUUAAGCUGUCUCUUUUUAACUAAAUAUAACUUUAUUAAGAGGUGAAGAAGCCUGUAUUUUAUUGAAAGACAAGAAGACCCUAUCGAGCUUUAAAGAAUUUAGUAGAUUUACCAUAUAUUAAUAAAAAAGUAAAGCAACUAAAUAUUUUGGUUGGGGCGACUGAGGAACAAACAAAGCUUCCUUUAUGCUAAUUAAAACUUACAAGUAUUGAUCCAAUUUAUUUGAUUAAAGAAAUUAGUUACCGUAGGGAUAACAGCAUAAUCUCCUUUGAGAGUUCUCAUCGAAAAGGGGGUUUGUGACCUCGAUGUUGGACCAGAAUACCCAGAAGAUGCAGCCGUCUUCAAUGGUUGGUCUGUUCGACCAUUAAAAUUCUACAUGA